AAAAAUGUCCAUACCACCUUAAUUAUUCUUGUCUGAUCUGAUCUCGUCUGAAGCUAAGAAGAGUUGGGCCUGGUUAGUACUUGGAUGGGAGAUACCAGCGAAUACCAGCUGCCAC
rnacentral:rRNA from 1 species